rnacentral:rRNA from 1 species
AGGAAUUGGCGGGGGAGCACCACAAGGGGUGAAGCCUGCGGUUCAAUUGGAGUCAACGCCGGAAAUCUUACCGGGGGCGACAGCAGAAUGAAGGUCAAGCUGAAGACUUUACCAGACAAGCUGAGAGGUGGUGCAUGGCCGUCGCCAGCUCGUGCCGUGAGAUGUCCUGUUAAGUCAGGUAACGAGCGAGACCCUUGCCUCUAGUUGCCACCAUUACUCUCUGGAGUAGUGGGGCGAAUUAGCGGGACCGCCACAGUUAAUGCGGAGGAAGGAGAGGGCCACGGCAGGUCAGUAUGCCUCGAAACCUUGGGGCUACACGCGGGCUGCAAUGGUAGCGACAAUGUGUUUCGGACCCUAAAGGGGGAGGCAAUCAUUAAACGCUACCUCAGUUAUGACUGAGGGCUGCAACUCGCCCUCACGAAUAUGGAAUCCCUAGUAACUGCGCGUCACUACCGCGCGGUGAAUACGUCCCUGCUCCUUGCACACACCGCCCGUC